GACGAACGCUGGCGGCGUGCUUAACACAUGCAAGUCGAACGAUGAAGCCGGAGCUUGCUCUGGUGAAUUAGUGGCGAACGGGUGAGUAACACGUGAGUAACCUGCCCUUGACUCUGGGAUAACUGCGGGAAACUGUAGCUAAUACCGGAUACGACCCUCGGAGGCAUCUCCUGGGGGUGGAAAGAAUUUCGGUCAAGGAUGGACUCGCGGCCUAUCAGCUAGUUGGUGAGGUAAAGGCUCACCAAGGCGACGACGGGUAGCCGGCCUGAGAGGGUGACCGGCCACACGGGGACUGAGACACGGCCCAGACUCCUACGGGAGGCAGCAGUGGGGAAUAUUGCACAAUGGGCGCAAGCCUGAUGCAGCGACGCCGCGUGAGGGAUGACGGCCUUCGGGUUGUAAACCUCUUUCAGUAGGGACGAAGCGCAAGUGACGGUACCUACAGAAGAAGGACCGGCCAACUACGUGCCAGCCGCCGCAGUAA
rnacentral:rRNA from 1 species